rnacentral:rRNA from 1 species
GACGUAGGGCGCGAGCGUUGUUCGGAAUUACUGGGCGUAAAGGGCGCGUAGGCGGCCUUCUAAGUCGAACGUGAAAUCCCCGGGCUCAACCCGGGAACUGCGUCCGAUACUGGAAGGCUUGAAUCCGGGAGAGGGAUGCGGAAUUCCAGGUGUAGCGGUGAAAUGCGUAGAUAUCUGGAGGAACACCGGUGGCGAAGGCGGCAUCCUGGACCGGCAUUGACGCUGAGGCGCGAAAGCCAGGGGAGCAAACGGG